CAGAGAUUUCUCUACAUCACCACUUUACGAGUUGUGCAGGCCUGCUGACGGCAUUCACGGGGCUUCUUGCUCGUGUGGAUUCUCUGAUGCUGAAUAAGGUGCGAGCUGCGACUGAAAGUUUUCCCGCACUCAUUGCAUUCACAGGGCCUCUCCCCUGUGUGGAUUCUCUGAUGUUGAGAAAGGCCUGAUCUGUAAGUGAAGUUUUUCCCACACUCAGCACAUGUAUUUUUUUUGCUUUUCCCUGCAGAUUUCCUGCUGUAUUCUGGUUUCCUUAAGGCCCUUCUGAGUUCCCUGACAG